UAGUUGAAUUGUGUUCUCUCAUUUUAUGUUACUCUCUCCUUUUAUUAGCUACGGAGUCUUUUUCCAAAACAGAUGAUAUUUUCCUAUUCGUUCGUUCUUCGUUUUCCCUUUUUGUUUUCAUUAUUUCUUCUUUUCCAUAUUGAUAGAAUGUUGUUGGAUUUUAGCUUUGAAAUUAAAGAAAUACUGCAAUUGUAUUGUCAAAGGAAAUUGUUUUAUUAAUAAAACAAACACAUACAUUUAUAACUAAAUUUCUAACUAAACUUCCAUUCAAAUUCAAAUAACAGGAUAACUAAUUCCUGAGACUAAGCCACACAGAAUUCCAAUAAUUUAAAACUAUUAAUAGUUAUCUAGUUCUACUUUAUUUCUGAGACAUAUCUUCAAUACUCCUCCUUGAAUCAGAAAUUGUAGAUUGAAGGCUCGAAUGAAUUUGAUGUAACACCCCGUAUAAUUCUUGGCUUGAUUUAACUCUUAGUUGUAUGCAUAGGGAGUUUAAGGCCAAAAACUUUUGUAAGUGUUGGGGACAUAGUCAUAUUUUAAGCCUCUUAACUUCGAGAAUUUUGUAAUUGAUCUUUCCGACCCUGAAACAUAGACUUUUGAAUUAAUUCAUGUUCGGGGAUGUAAUGGGCAUGUCUCAGAAAAUUUUUUGAUUUUUCGGAUGGGGGUUGUGUUGUGUUUGGUUUUCGGUUCCAGAACUUCACUGCGAUAGCGGUGCAUCGCGGUGAGACCUUUACCGCAUUGCGGUGCCCUUGUCAUCGGCGUUCCAAUCACGAAUUUAAUUUCCAGAAAGGAAAUGUGGUCUUUUCCUCUCAUUUCAAUUCGUAAAUUGACGUAUUAUAUCAUCAAUUAGGGCAAAUAUUUCCCAUUCUCAUCAAUUAUACUCUCAAGCAAACCCUUCUCUCUUCCCAAAAACAAGAAUUCAAUUCUCUCAAGUUCAAGAAUUGCAAGAAAAUAGCAAGAUUAGGGUUUCAUUCUUCAAACAAAGAAACUUAAGGAUCUGAGGCUCAGUCCCGGGGUCCCGCUAAGUAGUAGAUCAUUGUCAGACGUUUAGAGUUGGUGAGCCUCCAUUAUUUCGAAAGGCCUUGCUUCAUCUGAUUUUUUUAAUUAGUUUUAGUUCAUGGUACGUCUGGGGAACUUGUCCCGAUUUCAGACAGAUGUUGUUUUCAGUUUAGUAGAGAUUUUGCAGACUUGUGUUAGAUGGUUUUGGGUCUUUUAUGAACUUAUAUCCACGUUGGCUAGUUGAAUUAAUAAGAUGGUCAUGAUCCCCGUUUAUUUCUGCAUUA